CGCUGGCGGCGUGCCUAACACAUGCAAGUCGAGCGAGGAGAUUCCUUCGGGAUGAUCCUAGCGGCGGACGGGUGAGUAACACGUGGGCAACCUGCCUCAUAGAGAGGAAUAGCCUUCCGAAAGGGAGAUUAAUACCUCAUAACAUUGCAGUUUCGCAUGGAACAGCAAUUAAAGGAGCAAUCCGCUAUGAGAUGGGCCCGCGGCGCAUUAGCUAGUUGGUGAGGUAACGGCUCACCAAGGCGACGAUGCGUAGCCGACCUGAGAGGGUGAUCGGCCACAUUGGGACUGAGACACGGCCCAGACUCCUACGGGAGGCAGCAGUGGGGAAUAUUGCACAAUGGGGGAAACCCUGAUGCAGCCAACGCCGCGUGAGUGAUGACGGCCUUCGGGUUGUAAAGCUCUGUCUUCAGGGACGAUAAUGACGGUACCUGAGGAGGAAGCCACGGCUAACUACGUGCCAGCAGCUGC
rnacentral:rRNA from 1 species